rnacentral:rRNA from 1 species
UUUUCCGCAAUGGGCGAAAGCCUGACGGAGCAACGCCGCGUGAGGGAGGAAGGUCUUUGGAUUGUAAACCUCUUUUCUCAAGGAAGAAGUUCUGACGGUACUUGAGGAAUCAGCCUCGGCUAACUCCGUGCCAGCAGCCGCGGUAAUACGGGGGAGGCAAGCGUUAUCCGGAAUUAUUGGGCGUAAAGCGUCCGCAGGUGGUCAGCCAAGUCUGCCGUCAAAUCAGGUUGCUUAACGACCUAAAGGCGGUGGAAACUGGCAGACUAGAGAGCAGUAGGGGUAGCAGGAAUUCCCAGUGUAGCGGUGAAAUGCGUAGAGAUUGGGAAGAACAUCGGUGGCGAAAGCGUGCUACUGGGCUGUAUCUGACACUCAGGGACGAAAGCUAGGGGAGCGAAAGGGAUUAGAUACCCCCUGU